CGCUCCACCGGGCGGAAAAUCACUCUUUCGAUCCCAAUUACCCCAAAUUAAUUUCCCAGAAUUUAGCCAAGCUCCUUCAGUCUUAGCAACAGGAUGGCUUUAAAACGAAAUCAACCACGUUAUAAAAUAUUUGUUUGUAGGCCCCUUGUUUUUAAAUUUGUUGCCAUUCAAGCCGCCAUUUUUCAAGACAGCGAACAGCGAUCUUGAAAAAGAAUGGAAAUUCUAAAACAUCCCAUUGAAGUUCAUAUGAGGGAACAAUGCAGUUAUAGGCUGCGUACGAGAUCUUCAGGGUCAGUACGGCUUAAAACUCAAGCUCCGUUGCUCCAUAUUCCACACAGCGGGAAGGAUCAGUAGGAAAGAAGUACUGGCACUUUGUCAUCAGUCUUUUUAAGCCUUGAAUAUACUUGCGUUGCGUUUCAUCGUUCAGCA